ensembl:lncRNA
CCCCCCCUCUCUCUGUGUGUGUGCAGGAGGAGGAGAAUAACACCGACCAGUGCGGAGGACACAGCUCUGGAGAGGAGGCAGCCCUGCUGCUGCCUGAGACCACAGACACAGUCCUCAGUGACCUGGCUAAUACCUCUCAGUGGUAGAGAGCGGAGCUACAGGACCAAGUCAACAGCAUCACUGUCAGUGUGUUCUUUACUUUUAAUUCAGUAUUCAGCGCACACACACACACACACACACACACACACACACACACACACACACACACACACACACACACACACACACACACACACUACAACUCACCUCUCUGACAAAUGCUGUUAAUAUGCAAUUUGCUUCUACAUUUUUCUAUGAACUUCUUCUUUGAUGUGUGACUUCUAGGCUGUUGUGCUGCACCUGCACAUAACAUGGUCCUAAGGAUGACAUAAUGCCUGUCAUAACAGGUCGUGACAGCUCAAAUCAUAGUUACGACCUCUCGUGGACGUUCUAAAGCGUGAAGCGCUUAAACAUUUAAGUCUUAGUUAGAUGUUUAAUAGUUUAUGUUUCACAACAGGGUUAUUUCGGUUGCAGGAGGAGUGAUGUUGGGAGCUUUACGACCGGCGUUAUGUCAUUUUUAUGACGCCGUUAUUAUGAGGCAUCAUGACAGCCACUGUAAUUAAGAUAUUUUGAGUGAAUGUAUCCGUCUCCUUUUUCAAAUCUAAAAGUUGAUUUGAACCCUUCCGUCGGUGCGACAACUUUAAACAUUUCAGACUACUGUAAUAAUAGUCAUUCAAACGUACUUAGACUUUUGUUUGAAGAAUCAUUGUAAAGUACAGAUAUGUAUAAUGUUUUUCCUCCUUAUAUUCAAAACCUGAGAUGUUAUAUUAUAAGCAUUUUCUGUUAUUCAUUAUUAGACAUUUAAAUUCCUGCUUUAUUAGGGGUGUUGUAGUACUAGUUGAAAGGAGACUCAAAGGUAGAGAGGCGUCCAAAAUGGGGGAGAACGGUUGAAAACGCUUCUGGUAAAGGGUGGCAGUUUGAGGGC